UGAAUGAUUAAAAUUUAAAUUAUGUUACCCUAUUAAUCGGUAGAGGCAGAGUCACAGAAUUCUGGUCGGAAAUCUCAAAACCAGCUUCAGGUAUUAUGGGCAUUACAAAACUUUACAAGCAAGGCCAAAAUGUUAGCUGCAUCAGCCGAAUGAUACAAAAAAAUAAAGCAUAAAGAUGCUAUACAAAAGGGAAAGAAAUUAUGUCUACUUCCAAAAAUCCAAAUUGCAUAACGGCAUAAGCAUCUGGGCUGAAAAGAAUAAAUUUCUAGCCAACCCAAGAUCCCAAUUUCAACCAAGAGAGAGAGAGAGAUCUAUUGUCAUCACAAGCAAAGAGUAGUCAAUGUAGGAGAUGUGAGACUUCUGCAUAUACAUGUGAGAGUUUACAAAACUGAAGAAAAACUCAUACAAACCAAGCAAAACAAAUAUGAAGAAAAUUCAUAGAAAACAAGUGAAACAAAUCCGAAGAAAAUCCAUACAAAUCUACAGAAAAUUUAAAUAGGUAUUAACAUAUUUUAGCAAAUUACCUUCAAGUUUCUUAUUUGACGUGGAUUGCAAUCGAUUGGCAUAGAGAAUUUGCGAUGGAGUUCUCUUCAGUUUAUAGAGGGAAAAGCAGAUGCGUGGGUUUAAUAGCAAAGCAGGUGCGUGAGUUUAAU
rnacentral:lncRNA from 1 species